AAAUUAGGGCCCAAUACAUGAUAUGGCCCAAGCCUUGAAAAUUUAGUUCAUUAAUUAUAUUGGCCCAUCAUCUAUUUAGUAUAUGUGUCUCUAGAAGUUUCAAGACUUCCAAAGAGAGCUAAGUCAUCUUCCAAAGAGAAGAAGAGACCGAUACUAGAGGAAGAAAAGGGGAAAAAUUUCAAGUUUUUCAACUUUGAUCCAAAAACCUUGUCUUCUUGAAUUCUUGUCAAGUUCGAGGCCCUCUUCAACGUGGUAUAAUUAAUUGAGCGAGAAAGUUUCAUUUGUGGCAAGUCAAAAAUUGAAGAAAAGAUUUUGGAAGAAACGGGAUUUGAAUUUGAGUGAGCGUAAGAAGCGGAUAAGGUAUAGACGUUCUGGAUCCAUCGGCGUAGGCUGCAUACCUUCUUCUACUACAGAGUGCUCUAUUGACUCGGAGCCGUAUUUUGGUAUAUGCCUUUCUGAUGUACACACU